UUGGUGUCCAUGUGUCCUGCUGCAGGUGUUGCCGCUUCUGAAGCGAUGGAGAGGAGCAACGGAUGAUAGCUUGGGGAUACUUGAUAGCUAAGAUCACGUGUGCACAGAUGAACUGCAAAUGACAAUCAAUUAGGAAGUUUGGACAUUUGCUGCAAGCUGUUAGCCAUCGUGGCCCGAAGCACCAGAGACUUUCAUUGAGCUCCUCAAAUCACUAGCUGAUGAGGGAAGCAGGGGUACAUGGAUGCUAGGAUGGAGGCAACAAAGAAUUGUUCUCA